rnacentral:lncRNA from 1 species
CAGCAAAGACUUCAUUGGGCUUCCACCAAAGGCAGGUCAUCUUCUUCACUAGCAGGAGAAUUACCAAGAGAGGAGGGAGGAGUACCUCAGAGGUCACGUGCUCUGCUGAGGCUAAGACGGUGGUGAUAGGGCUGGCAGCAGACUCGGGCUGCGGGAAGAGCACCUUCAUGAGGAGGCUGACGAGUGUGUUCGGAGGUGCAGCUGAGCCACCCAAGGGAGGAAACCCAGACUCCAACACAUUGAUCAGUGACACCACCACUGUCAUAUGCCUGGAUGACUACCACUCCUUGGACAGAACCGGGAGGAAGGAGAAGGGUGUCACUGCUCUGGACCCGAGGGCCAACAACUUCGACCUCAUGUAUGAGCAGGUGAAGGCUCUCAAGGAUGGAGUUGCCGUUGACAAGCCCAUCUACAACCAUG